GUAACAAUAAUUAGCCCAGGUUCAGGGAACACACGUACCAUGCCAAGUGCCAUAGCAUGUUUUAUGUGCCUUGUCUCAAUUGAUCCUCUCCACAGUCUUAUAAGCCUAAUACCAUUAUCACCCCCAUACUACAAAUGAGGGAACUAAACUCACACAAGUUGCCAACAACAACAACAACAACAAAAUCUGCCACCUACUACUAUGUUGCUUAGGACAGAUCCCUGAUCCUCUCUGAGAUCUACCUUCCACAUGUGUAAAAUGCAGUAUUCCUAGUGGACCAGCAUCUACAGGAUUUUCCACAAAAAGGAAAUGCACCUCAUGAUGAAGCAUGAACGUUGCUAUAGAGAUCUGAUUGAUAGGCAGCUCUGCUUACCUUAAAUCCACAGCUACAUUUGUGAUGCUUUCAACCUUCAGAGCCUUUCACGACAGAACAG